AAUAUUAUUCAAUGUGAUAACUUUGAUAAUAUAUUAAAAUAUUGAGAAUGUUAUCUUUUUGCAAAUAUUUAUCUUUUAUACAUUUAUUCAAAAUUUCUUCUUUGUUUCGAUGAAUAUAUAUUUUUUUAUCUUUAAAGUUUAUGGAUUUGUGUGACAUGAUUUUUUUUCACCUCGAGAUAAAGAUUUCGAUAUAAAAAAAAGAAUUUUAUAUAUAUAUUAAAUAGUGAUUCACAAGAUGGCGUGAAAUCGAUAUAUAUUAGGGUAUUGAAUGCAUGAUGCAAGAGUCACCUGUUGCAAUUCUUGGAAGCAGAUACAAUGUUGACACAUGUAUCUCGAGUAAACUAAUUUCAUUACGAUUGUUGUUAUAUCGUGUUACUUCGGUUCCUUAGAAAUAAUUAUCAACACAAACCUAAGAAUACAAAUGUUUCGUUGAAAUUUCUUCGAAUAUUUCGUUGAAAAUGGGAUCUGGUAAUAUUGCUGCGUAAUAACAAUCAUGGUAAUGGUUAUUAUCGAUUAACCUUCGCUAUGCUCGUGUACUGUAUUUAUUGCUAAACCAAAGCAAUCGAUAAUUCUAACGGUAUAUGGAAUUCUGAUCGUAAUAUUUCUAGUGAUUAAUAUUUCCCUAUUUUUGAAACUAUAAUUACUAUAAUUUUUUAUUCGAAUAUUCGUAAAUUUUAUUAUUAUAUUUUACGAUUUAUGUUGUUUAUCUUUAAUUUUACUAUCUCAUCUCGUUAAUCAUCUACUUUUUCAAUUUUAAUUAUUUAUUAAAAUUGUACUUUCUGCAUAAAAAUGGCGGCUUAUGAAUGAAUUGAAAAAGUAACGAGUUAAAAUUUUUUUAUUUUUCGACACGAAAAAAAUGGCGCGAUAUAUAACAAAUCGAUUGGUGACCUCAAUUGAAUUUGAAAAAGCUUUCAUAUAUUCUGUCCAAUUUCCUUAAUAAUCUUUUUAUCGUUAUCCUCUAUACGAGUAGUUUCAAUUGCUUUUCAAUACCUUUGUACGGGCAGUUUUCAUUAAUGAUAAUCCUAUGGAUUUCACGAACAUGUGUAUUUAUAUUUGCUGUGUACUCUGUUGUAGAUGACAUUUUACGAACUUUUCUAUUAUUUAUAAAUCUAAUUUUCUUUUGACGCUUGAACAUAUUGUGUCUACUUUUUUUUCCGAUUUUUAAUUAUUUUUCUUAUAUCAUCUAACCUUUUUCUAUAAAAUAAUAAAUUAAAUUUAACAAAGUAAAGAAAAUUUAUAGAAAUAAAUAUUUCAGAAUAUAAUUAUUAUUUAGUAUUUAAUUGCAAAAUAUAAACAUAUAUACAUAUAUAUAUCAAUGUAAUUAGGUUAGGUUAUGUGAAAUUUUCGAGAGUUAAUAAGUUUCGCAAAUAAAUUUUAAAGUUGAAAGUUACUUUCAAAUAGUUAUUCUUAACUCAAUAUCAAUUUGUGAAAAAAUAUUCUUAAAAGUUUCACUUUCAAAAAAGUAUUUGUACAAUUGAAAAAAUAAUAUUAACAAAGUAUUUUUCUACCGAGAAAAUCAUCUUUCUUCUCUUUAUUAUUUAUUAAUGUCACAUCAUUAAUAAAAUUAAUUAUAUUAAAAUAAAUAACUGUUAAAAAAUUAAACUAACAAUUAAAUUAAUCAUCAUAACCUUUUAAAAAAUAAAGAAUUAUUAUCAUAUCAUUAAUAAAAUAAAUAUAAUUCUGUGUUAAAAUAUAAAUAUUAAAAUCAAAUAAAUUUACUUAAUCUAAUUUGACGUAAUAGCUGUUUAGAAACUCGAUUACUUUUUUCAAAAGUCUUGACAAUAUUCAUCUUAUAUCUUUAUUCUAAGAAAUUUAUUGAAAGAAUAUUUUUGAUAAAAAUAUUAUAGUUGGAAUAUUAUUUUUUAUUUAAUUAUGAAAUUUAUUUCUACAGAGUUUUUUUUUUCUAUAAACAUGGUUACAUUUUAAUUUUAACGUGAAAUUCGAUAAUAAACUGUUUUCGCAGUCAAUUAUGUUCGAUUUGCAAAUAUUUCUGAAAUUUUCGUAUCGUGUUACAAUAUUGCACAAAUUACGAUAAUCAUAUAUUUUAGUUUAUUUUAAUUCUUUCAUUAGUUGUUUAUUUUUCUGAUAUUUUUACACUUUUUAUUCCGUCUUACAUUGCAUAUAACUAUCUUAAAUUAGAUCAAAAAUAAUAAUCGAAAUGCAGUUCAUUUAUAACUUAUCCCAGCAAAAUAAAAUCUAUUUAAAUAAUCUAACUAUACAGGAAAAUGAAAAUAAACAUUUUUCAAUGGCCAAGGAUACGAAUAAAAAAAACAGACAUUUUUUCCUUUUAUCUAUCAAAAUUUAUUAUCAUUAGAUUGCUCUUUCUUUUAAUCGAAUAACAUUUUUAUUUUACUAUUUAUUUUCAUUUUAUUUUCCAAAAAUAUACAAAUACUUUUGAUCGACGCGCUCGAAUAUAUAUAUACUACGAAUAUAUAUACUAAGAAAAAAAAGAAAUAAACACUAAGAAAAAAAAGAAAAGAAACGUAGAAUAUAAAAUAUCCAAAAAUAAAUAAACGAACAAAGAAAUAUGUCUAUCGAUAUCGAUUUAAGGUUAGGUUAGGUUAUAUAAAAUUUUCGAGAGUUAAUUUUCACAAGUGAAUAAUUUCAGUAAAUGAAAGUUACUCUCUAGAUAAUUACACAUUUAACGCAAUAUCUACUCACGAUAAAAUAUUCUUAAAAGUACAAUCCUUUUACGCUAGUAAACAAGUAAUUUUCACCUUGAAAACUUUCGUACCGCGCGAGUAACGUAAAAGGAGGAAUUGGCCAGUCGAGCCCCUUGCUGGUAGUUCGCCAGAUUAACUCGAGCGUUGCCAUCGACCAGCCGUUGCCUUACCAACUCUGACCCUAUGUUAUAUUCGCCUCGAUGACAGCAAAGCGAUAUAACCUAUAUCCUUUUCCAUAUCGUUUUAUAUGAUCGAAAAAAACUAAAACGUGAAUCAUACUUUUUCUACAAUACUUUAUUCCACAAUUAAUCGGAAAGAAUAAAUAUGUAAGAAUUAGAAAAAUGAAAGAUGGAGAAAAUCACUGGUGAAUUUUUUCUUGGCAAGAUGCUCGGCUUUCGUGUGUAGUUAUUCUUGGCACGAUCGUCCAUGAUGGUGACGAGCAUCGUCGAUGAGGUAGUAGUCAGCAACAGAGGGAAGACACGGAGUAGUUGGAGACGGUUAUUCGGCAAAGGAACCGGGAAAUCUCGCGACGUGCGUCGGUCAAAGGCCGAUGAUUAUCGUCUACCGUCCGAUUCAUUUUGUCGCGGGCAUGUCGUAUCGUCGGCUGAACUCGUCCGAUUCGUUGACACGAUCUCGCGGCAUAUCCAAUCACGAAUGAUCGAUUGGAUUCUUGCUUAGGCUUUGUUGUUUCUUCCUCGUCUUUGACUUUUUGUAAAGGAAGUAAAAUUAUCUUCCUUCAAACAGAUUCUCUUAAACGUUUAGAUUAGAAAUAAUGUCGGAACGAAAUUAAAAUGAUAAUUCUAUCCUAUUAACCAACAAAUGGUAAGCCAUCCAUGAAAACGAACGUUUAAAAGCUAAAAAUAAAAUCCGAUAUUUGUCAUAGAUCAACGAGAGCGUUUAUCUUGAAAAUAUUAUAGGAGAAAAUGGGGUUGAAUUUUAUUUGAAGGGUUCGAAAUAUUCAAGAUUCAUCGUGAUACUUUUCUCGGCCAACAGGUGGAGCCCAAGCAAGCAAACUCACAUUUCGAUCUUCAAUUUUUAAGAUUCGAAUCCAACUCAAGAUUAAUUUAUUCAAAGGAGCAAAGAUAUUUAAAAUCCGUGGUCGAAAAUUUGUACUUGUUUUUCGUGUUCGUGAAUCGUAAUUUAUUUCCAUCUCGAUGAAUUUUCACAUUUUGCGCAAUAAUAUUUUUUCAAGCUUCUUAUAUUCUUCUAUCGAUCAAUUGAAUAUCCAUUUUUACUCUCGUAUCCUUGAGAAAUUUUUUUUCAUCUACUUUAUGGAUGAAAUUGCAUCGAUAAGAUAAGAGUUCCAUCUAUGAGUUAGAUUAGGUGUUGAAAUUUCGUCGAAAAAUACUGUUAAUUAAGAUUAAAACAUAAAAUAUUUAAGAUUUUUGAUCUUUUGAUUAGAUCUAAUAAAACUAAGAGAAAAAAAAAGGAAAACAAAAAAAACUAAAGAUAUGCGAAGAAGAAGUAUAAAUGUAAAUCGAUUAAAA